CCAGAGCCUUUGAUCUUAUAUUCUUCAUACAUGUACUUAACCUUUGACCGAACUUUUAUGUCAUCAACCAGAACUUGAAAAAAUCUUCCAAAAAACUGUGAUUAUUCAAUAAAGGUUAUUUCUUCUCCAAACGUUAUGACCAGACGAAGGAAAGUAUGGAAAAGCUUGUCUACAAUUUUUAAUAAAGAAUUGCAAGUGGGAGUACAAGAAAUCUACACCCAAAUAAUAUCAACUUUAGCAGACCUCGGAAUUACAGAUGACAUGAAUCAAAUUACCCGGCAAAACAUCACUAACAUGGUUAUAAACAUUUACAAUAAAACUCCAGAUUGUAAUUUUUUCCUAUGGAUUCACGUACACUUAUUUAUCUUUUUCCGGGAGUAUAAAGCUAAAAUAAUCCGAGAUCUAAGGCUGUUUAGAGAUGGUAAAAAAGUAAUGUUUAGGGUCAGAUUAAGAGACCGCUAAUCAUCGACUUUUUUUACAAUUUGAAAAUUAAUAUAUAAUUAUAAUUAUGCACAAAUCCUGCCAAUAAGAAAUACUGAAGACAAUGGAACCUCAAGCAGCUACAAAUUACAAAUCAAUUCUGUUAUUUUACGUAAUUUUUAGUAAAAGUUAAGAAUUAACAAUUGACAACUCAACUUGUGUACGACUCAGAAAUAAAUAUACUUUGUAUUCUUCUGUAUAUUUAUAUGUAAUUUAACUCAGGGAAAGUAGUCGUAGUAGACAAUAUAAUAGAAUAGUGUAGAAUAGUAGAGAACCAAGAAAACUAUGAAUUCUUCAGAGUAAAAUCACAUUGAGGUGCGAUACCAAGGAAGUGGAGAACGAUGACGCGGUGACGAUAUAAAAUACUUCUGUGUUUCUUCAACCGCUAUGAAUUGCAAUUCUUCCAUACA